UAAGGAAUAUUGGUCAAUGGACGCAAGUCUGAACCAGCCAUGCCGCGUGAAGGAUGAAGGUCCUCUGGAUUGUAAACUUCUCUUAUAGGGGAAGAAACCUCUUGAUUCUUCGAGAGUUGACGGUACCCUAGGAAUAAGCACCGGCUAACUCCGUGCCAGCAGCCGCGGUAAUACGGAGGGUGCAAGCGUUAUCCGGAUUCACUGGGUUUAAAGGGUGCGUAGGAGGGCAGGUAAGUCAGUGGUGAAAUCUCCGGGCUUAACUCGGAAACUGCCGUUGAUACUAUCUGUCUUGAAUAUUGUGGAGGUGAGCGGAAUAUGUCAUGUAGCGGUGAAAUGCUUAGAUAUGACAUAGAACACCAAUUGCGAAGGCAGCUCGCUACACAUAUAUUGACUCUGAGGCACGAAAGCGUGGGGAUCAAAC
rnacentral:rRNA from 1 species